UACGUAGGGGGCAAGCGUUGUCCGGAAUCAUUGGGCGUAAAGAGCGUGUAGGCGGCUCGGUAAGUCUGCUGUGAAAGUCCAGGGCUCAACCCUGGGAUGCCGGUGGAUACUGUCGAGCUCGAGUCCGGAAGAGGCGAGUGGAAUUCCUGGUGUAGCGGUGAAAUGCGCAGAUAUCAGGAAGAACACCUAUGGCGAAAGCAGCUCUCUGGGACGGUACUGACGCUGAGACGCGAAAGCGUGGGGAUCAAACAGG
rnacentral:rRNA from 1 species